CUCCGGUACCCCAGCUCUUACCUGCGCUCCAACCAGGAGACAGCUACGGAGAAUCAGCCAUCCACAGAUGUAGGUGUAUCUUAAUCUAUCAGUGUUUUGUUUUGCAAUGUUAUGGAUCAAAUCAGGGCCUCCAGAUGCGAGACCAGAUCCCAGUGGAGCAGAAGCAGCUAUCCAAAAGAAGGAAUUGUGAUCAUAAGCACAACACACCAGACUGUACACUGAACGCCAACAAGGAGAAGGUGUCUGUUCUUUCCCAGUGUGCCUGCAAGAGGGGUCCCUGGAAUC
rnacentral:sRNA from 1 species